rnacentral:ncRNA from 1 species
CUGGUCAGAGGGUAAAAGGGAAACAGGUGAGAGGCCUGUGCGAUCUCGUCACUGUAUACGGAAAUGACUGAACCAUGCGUGAAAACGCGGUCACUGAGAAAUCGGGAAGGCGGUUCUUUCUAAAAGCCGUGAGUCAGGAAACCUGCCGUCUGUAAU